UGGGAAGUAGGGCCGUUAAGAUUUGGAAAAUUGUUGUACUACAAGAGUACAGACUGCAUUUGAUAAAUGAAUUGAAUUUGAUUUAAAAGGGCUUGUUUGACAUGUGCACAGUCACAUACUUUGUCUUUGGCAGAUAAUAAUAUAAAAUGGUUCAAUGUAAGUGCGCGAAAAUUAAAAGGGGGAAAAAAAAACCAGUUAUAACAGCUACAUUUCAGAACAUCAUGGCAAUAUUGGAUUAGAUUUUCUACAUUUUUAUAUCAUAUUUUGUAACUUCUAUGAUUUAUAUUUAUA
rnacentral:misc_RNA from 1 species